rnacentral:misc_RNA from 1 species
AAACCAAGACAACAACUCACAAAAUUUAGCACAUAAUAAAAUCCUUGUCCGUGACAGAUCAAAACGAGUAAUCAGAAAAAUAAUAAUGCGACUCAAGAAGCUAAGAAAAAGAAAAGGCUCAAAUAGCAAUUGUAUUGCGAUAGGGAAUCAAAAAAGAAGACAUCAAAGUAAAAGAGUAAUAAACUGGAAAAUAGACAACCUAAAGAAGUGAUAUGAAGCUCAAAUAUCCAAUUUCACCA